CUCUGGGACUGCGCUGAGUUCAGCCAUGGACCUCUGGGGAGAUGUGGCUCCUGCCUGGGUCCUUAACCUACUGUGCUAUAAGAGGACUCCUCAUUUUAAUGAUACAUUUCAUUUAAGCCUGACAUCUAAACCUUUGUUUCAACCUGAGUCAAUGUAAAAGAAGUACUGAUGUAUUUUGCAGUUUGCUGUAUUAAGUUUUUGGAAGUCAGUGGGUGUCUUACACUUGCAGCAAAAGCCACUUCGCACAAGCCACCCUUUCAGUACUCAAUAGCCACAUGUGGUUAGCAGAUAGCAUUUUGGACAGGGCAGCCACAUGGCUUGGGCUAUAGUGACAGCAUCUUCAUUUCAAGUGGAGAAAAAAAACAGGAUGCACCAAGGUGUGGCAGGUUUCGGGGCUUUGGAGGCGUCUUAGAGAUUCCUUCUUGGAAACUUUUCAGUCUGGGUGGGGCUGCUCCAUCUCUUGGCAGGUUAAAGGCAAUUUUGAGGGGGGGGGGGGUGCUGGGUGCCUGGCCCCUUGAGGAAUCCCUGUCUGCAGGACCUUGACCUGUGCGUGUCACCCAAGGGGCAGAGUGAGGUACAGAGCUGAGCACUGGACUGGAGUCAGGAGACGCAGGUUCCAACCCCAGCUGGGCUUUGAACUCUGCCUGAUGUGGGCAGGGCACACACCUCUUUGGAUCCUCAGCUUUUCUCUAGGAAGAUGAGCACGCUGAAUGCUAUCAGUUCAUUGGUUAUCAAGGGCAUGGAAGGAAAAUUCCUCCAUACUCCUGACUCCCACCCCAUACCUGAAACCCUGAGGACUCAUCGAAUGGUAGAGAUGAAAGGAGAUGUCACAGGGACUCCUGUAUGCUUGGGGCAAGACCUACAGGGCUAUAGCAUCGAGGGCUUCUAGGUUGGUACUCUUUGCCGGCCCCACAGAGUUGCCACCUGCCAAAAACAAUUGCCCCCUCCACACUGGCCUGCCAUGGCUUGAGUCAAUGCAUGGGUGUACACUGAGCCCUCCAGUAAGCCAGAUCCUCAAAGUAGCUCUGCUCAAGGGGCUCACGUGGCAGGGUAAGCCCCUCUCUCCUGCCCCGUAGAUGGAUAGAUUCCUGAGGACAUCCCUUUAAGGCCACUGCCCCUCUAGCCUACAUUAGUUGAGGAGAUUCACUGAAAGACAUAAGCAAGUCCUGGUCCUCAAGAAGUUUAUGAUCUAAAGAGGAGACUGAUUAUCCCUGGGAAGCCAUCUCCCCCAGGAGGUGAAUGCCAAGGCACAGAGAAUGAUGAAGACAGAAGGGCAGUGAGGGUGCAACAGGACAGGUGGUCAGGAAGCCAGCUGGAGGAGGGGUUGUGGAUCCGAGCCAGCUUGGGAGAAGGGACAGAUCUCUUCAAGGAGCCAGCACAGGCCCACAGGUAUGAGAACACAACAGUGUGUUUGGACACCCCAAGUAGGAUCCGUGACUCAAACCCAUGGUGGGGUGGGGGAGUGGAGGCCCCAGGUUUGGGAGUGGUAGGUGAGCUAGUCCUGGAAAGGUGAGUUCCCAGCCAAGGAGGCAGUAGCAGGGAGCCACGGAUGGCUCCUGAGCAGGAGACAUGCGCUGCGUGAGGUUUAGGCAGGUGAAUCUGAAGGCAGUAUUCUUGAGAGACAGGAGGUGGAGGGGGUGAACACUGGAGGCAAGAAAUUCAUUCAGGAGGUCCCACGACAAUCACUGUGAAUAUAAUUAGCCUUCAAAUCAUGGGCAGAGCCUUUCUCAUUUAAUCCUCCUUCAACCUGGUGAAAUACUGAGGGAAGAUACUACUAGUGUCCCCACCUAACAGAUAAAGAAACUGAGGCUCGGAGGAAUUAACCGAUUUGGUGAAAGGGCACAAGUUGGAAAAACAAACCCACACUCUCUGUAUCACACUCUGAACUCUUGCUACUAUGCCAUGCUCAGGGGCCCAGGAAAAUGGGGGCCCCAAAGGAGACAGAGAUGACCACGGAAGGCCCCCUGGAGGGGUGAUGUAUAUACAGAGAAAAGCUGAACUCACUUCAUCCAAGCAUCCCUUGGAAGCGUUCACACUCAAACACUGAUGUGGGGCAUCUGGUCCAACUGACCUGAAGUGCCCAGGCUGGGAUUAGCCAGGCCUGAGUUCAGUUCCCAGCGGGCCACUGACCCACUGUUUACUUUGGACACUUGACUUAAUCUCUGGUUUCUCAGCUAUAAGACACCUGCACACAAGGGGUUUGUAGGGAAUGAAUGAGAUCAUUAGGGUCCAGAGAGAUGGAGCCCUUGGUCAGUCCCUCAAGUCUACAUUAAGGCACUUGUGAUGGAACGUGAUGGAGAGAAUGUGAGAAAAAAAAAAUGUGUGUGUGUGUGUGUGUAUAUAUAUGUAUAUGUAUGACUGGGUCACUUUGCUGGACAGCAGAAAAUGACAGAACACUGUACAUCAGCUAGAAUAAACGUAAACAAAUUUAGCCAACCCACUGCUCCAUGUGCUGACCCUCAAGCCUCCCCACCUCCAUGAUUAAGCAGGAAAGUAAGCUGCUCCUGCAACUGCCUCCGGCCUCCCACUGCCUCUGCCUUCCUCCAGACCCCUCUCCUUCCAAGGAUGCCCACACGCAGGCCCUGCUCCAGGGGACCCCAGGAGACACUUCUCCCGUCUGGCUCAGGGCUCCCUAGAAACUCUGCUGAGCCCCACAAAGGCUUAAUGACCAUGGGGCUCACUUAGCAAGGGGAAAAGCCAGAGCUUUGCCCUGGCUCUGCUCCUGAUCUAAUUCCCAUGGGGUUCAUCGGGAAUUCCUUUGCACUCAGGGCUACUGGUGGGGGUCCAGCUUCCCGAGGACCUGGGGACACAUUAGUCAGUGAUAAGUGGGGCUUUCCACCCCACUUAUCACCUGUUGACAAUACACUGGCUCUCCUCAGACCAAACUCUGCUCCCCUGACCUUGCUCCUGGCUGUUCUGGCUACAGGAGACAAUUUACAAUGGACUCUCUGCGGUGGGGGGAGGGCAGUUUCCUUGGUGCCUCCUCCCCACCUCCCCCUCACCAUCCCCCCCGCCACCCCCCACCCUGGGCAACAUCUCCUCCACCUGGUGGGUCCUGGAAGGAGCCACAGAUGCUUGUUUUUCUCAGCUCAUUGCAGCCUCUGAAUUCAGAGAUGUCAUAAUUUCUGUCUGCUCAGCUUUAACUGAAGGGGCUGGGGAGAAAAUCAGAGGCAGUGGGAUUACGUUUCUGGCUUUGGGGACAGGAGGUGACCAGGGUUUUGUGGCUGUCCGAAACAGAAGCCAUCAGAGGUGUUGUACUUAUCUGGGCAAGACCCUCUUGGAGUCAAAAAGACAGGAUGACAGAGCAGCUGCCGGAGGGGGUGUGAGACUGCAGCCUGGACUUAGCUCCCCUCUGCCGCGGUCAGCGCGAGCAAGCGUGUCUCUGCAGCUCAGUACACUGUGCAGAAAACCGGGGUGCUGCCGCCUGUCCUGCCUCCAGUCAGGUGGUUGUGAGCACAGAAUGAGAAACUGUCGUGAAGGUGCUCGAAGAGGAGGCAAUUUUGUUUCGCCCUCUGCUCGGAUUCCAAGUGACGAGGCUUUCGGCACAAAUGGCUCUCCUGAUGCAGGCAGUUUAUAAUAGCUACAAGUCAACUUUCUCAG
rnacentral:lncRNA from 1 species